rnacentral:tRNA from 1 species
CAUUAAAUGACUGAAAGUAAGUAAUAGCCUCUUAAGCUAAUUUAUAGAAAAUUAACGAUUUUCUUUUAAUGA